rnacentral:rRNA from 1 species
AAAGUCGUACAAGGUUUCCGUAGGUGAACCUGCGGAAGGAUCAUUAGUGAAUUUUAGGGCAUCUACUUCGGUAGAGCCUGACCCCCACUUUCUAACACUGUGCACACAUUGGCGGGAGAAUAUUAGCAAGGAAGUAAAAUUUCGAGCUUAUAUUUUCUUGCGGCUCAUUUUAAACAUUAGUUAAAGUAUGUAACGAAAUAUCGAAAUAAAAAAAAACUUUCAACAACGGAUCUCUUGGCUCUCGCAUCGAUGAAGAACGCAGCGAAAUGUGAUAAGUAAUGUGAAUUGCAGAAUUCAGUGAAUCAUCGAAUCUUUGAACGCACCUUGCGCUCCCUGGUAUUCCGGGGAGCAUGUCUGUUUGAGUGUCAUGAACUCUUCAACCCACCAAUUUCUUGUAAAUUGAAUGGUGUUUGGAUUUUGAGCGCUGCUGGUUCUUCGGAAUGUAGCUCGUUCGUAAUAUAUUAGCAUCUCUAAUUCGAAAUCGGAUAGACUUGGUUUAAUAGACUAUUAACCAAGGACACUUUUAUUAGUGGCCGAAUGAGAAACUGUUAGAAGCUUCCAACUAUAAUAGUCAACUUUAGAUUAGACCUCAGAUCAGUCAGGAUUACCCGCUGAACUUAAGCAUAUCAAUAAGCGGAGGAAAAGAAACUAACAAGGAUUCCCCUAGUAACGGCGAGUGAAGCGGGAAGAGCUCAAAUUUGUAAUCUGGCGCCUUCGGCGUCCGAGUUGUAAUCUCGAGAAGUG